rnacentral:tRNA from 2 species
AGUAAAGUGACCGAGAAAUUAGGUGAUAAAUUGUAAAUUUAUUCACGGAGUUAAUCCCUUUACUA